UUUUAUGGAGAGUUUGAUCCUGGCUCAGGAUGAACGCUGGCGGCGUGCCUAAUACAUGCAAGUCGAGCGAACGGACGAGAAGCUUGCUUCUCUGAUGUUAGCGGCGGACGGGUGAGUAACACGUGGAUAACCUACCUAUAAGACUGGGAUAACUUCGGGAAACCGGAGCUAAUACCGGAUAAUAUUUUGAACCGCAUGGUUCAAAAGUGAAAGACGGUCUUGCUGUCACUUAUAGAUGGAUCCGCGCUGCAUUAGCUAGUUGGUAAGGUAACGGCUUACCAAGGCAACGAUGCAUAGCCGACCUGAGAGGGUGAUCGGCCACACUGGAACUGAGACACGGUCCAGACUCCUACGGGAGGCAGCAGUAGGGAAUCUUCCGCAAUGGGCGAAAGCCUGACGGAGCAACGCCGCGUGAGUGAUGAAGGUCUUCGGAUCGUAAAACUCUGUUAUUAGGGAAGAACAUAUGUGUAAGUAACUGUGCACAUCUUGACGGUACCUAAUCAGAAAGUCACGGCUAACUACGUGCCAGCAGCCGCGGUAAUACGUAGGUGGCAAGCGUUAUCCGGAAUUAUUGGGCGUAAAGCGCGCGUAGGCGGUUUUUUAAGUCUGAUGUGAAAGCCCACGGCUCAACCGUGGAGGGUCAUUGGAAACUGGAAAACUUGAGUGCAGAAGAGGAAAGUGGAAUUCCAUGUGUAGCGGUGAAAUGCGCAGAGAUAUGGAGGAACACCAGUGGCGAAGGCGACUUUCUGGUCUGUAACUGACGCUGAUGUGCGAAAGCGUGGGGAUCAAACAGGAUUAGAUACCCUGGUAGUCCACGCCGUAAACGAUGAGUGCUAAGUGUUAGGGGGUUUCCGCCCCUUAGUGCUGCAGCUAACGCAUUAAGCACUCCGCCUGGGGAGUACGACCGCAAGGUUGAAACUCAAAGGAAUUGACGGGGACCCGCACAAGCGGUGG
rnacentral:rRNA from 1 species